CCCUCUCCCUCAUUGCCCACCCUUUGAGGUACAGAGACCAGUUUUUCUAUAGCGUUUUGUACAGGAAUUUUCCUAGUGCUUCUCCGAUUAUUACUUUUAACAGUACAGGAGAAUCCGUAAAGCUCAGGAGGGAUAGCGCCAUGAAUUACUGUGAUCAUGAUCAUCAUGUUUGUGUGAUUACUGGCGCUAUCUAUCCUGAGUUUCAUGGGUUCUUCUUACUUUCUCUGGACUGUGGUCUCAGCUCCGACCGAGAAGAAUACGUUGUCUCUUCUGGAUAUUAUUCUUCGUUAGAUAUGGAUUUUGUGACCUGCGCAUCAUUGAGGAGGCCUCUCUUACGGACUCUUACGACUCCAAAUAUCUCUAGUUUGGAACAUCUGAAAAUCUUCUGAAUCACUGUGUUGUUUGUGGAUUACACUUACAUCUAUGAUUAUUUUUGGUCGGAAAAGAAGCAGGUGAAGUACCAUGCACUUGUUCUCGGCAUAAUUUUUGCAAAAACAUUAUGGCAACAUAAAUGAUCUGGUCCUUCUAUCCACUUCAUGUCCAACCACCGCACCUUACGUUGUUGGAUUCCGUUGGAUCUUUCAAUUUUGCUGCUGGAUUUCCUUCCUCAUACCUCUAACUUUUACUUAGAUCUUUUGAAUAUGCAUUAUUUGUGAUUUGGCUUCGAAUGGCUUCUUUUCUGGGUUUCCCUUUACAUAUUUACGGGCAAAAGUCUGUAGUAUUCUCUAGAAGAUCAAACUAACAGUGAAACCAGUUUCUUUUGCCUCCAUUUUUAAGCCUUGCAGAUCUCUCUCUGAACAAAAUUUUAGAACUUAUUAGGUCUGAUAGUACUUCUGUAUUGUUGCAGCUGGAAUUUAUUUUGGGCGAGUCUGAAACCCUAGGGAGAGAGCCUUUUUGAAGUAGUGGGAACUGAGCUAGGGUUUCAUAUUUGAUCGAGAUAUUUGCAGGCUUUGUAGUAAAGAGGGUCUUCGUAACUCUGGAUGUUGACUCCCUUCACAUCUUUGUUCGGGUCGCCGUCCAUUCACUUUAAUUUCUAUAUUUAUUCACCCACAUAUCAUAAUUAUUGCUCUUUAAAAAGUGAAAUUGAUGUAAAAUCUAAAACUAUUUACGACUGUGAUGGAUUAUUCUAAUCCCUGAAUUAAACUAAAACAGCUGUUUAAUUUUGCAUUCUGGGUUGAAGAUCAUCAUGUCUAUCUGUUUGAAUAUUUUUAUGUUAGUUUUUUUUUAUCCAUUCCCUGUUUCAGAUUCAAUGUGGAUCAUCUGGUUGGCCAUUAUAGACCCACAUCUACGGUUGGGAGUGAUGAUUUUUGGGCCAAUUUGCAAGUGUCGAUAAGCCUGACCUAACUUUAGGGUACAUGGUGUGUCUAAUUGUUUGGGGACAGAGAAACCAACGCACCUGUUAUGUUUAUUAGUUUAAACCCUUUGAUGUUGUGAUUAUAUAUAUAUAUAUAUAAGGUAAUUAUCUUCACAAGGUAAUGUUCUUGAACAGGGACCCCACUUUAGAGUUUCUUAAUUUAGGAGGUUCCACUCUGAACGUUUAACUUCAAAAGCUCCCAUUCAGGAUGCUUAUCCUUCUGAAAGGAAACUUAAGCUCAUGUUGUUUGGACUUUACAUGACCAACCAUUUCCUGUGAAAUCUAGAUACUGCGAUACUUGUUUUCCUGACCUUUGCGGUCCAAAAACACUUGGAUUUGUGAGAUGAUGGCAGGAUAACCAACGCAGAUUAAUUGAAUGAGAAAAGCUGGAAAAGUAGAAAUUCUAAUGGCUCACACAGUGCAUGUAUCCAUUUGUUGUUGCCACCCAUGAGACCUGAGUCUGGUAGCAUCAUAUGCAACAAGCCUAUAUGGUGGAACGAGGAAGACAAACUACAUACACACCCUCAAACUGCACAAUAAUUUUGAGCUGCAAAUGGUAUCUUUUAAUGCAUGAGUUGUUAUGGUAUAUAUAGCCAACUCUGAUCCUAUUUGUAAUAA